rnacentral:rRNA from 1 species
AGAGUUUGAUCCUGGCUCAGAUUGAACGCUGGCGGCAUGCUUUACACAUGCAAGUCGAGCGGCAGCGCGGGGGCAACCCUGGCGGCGAGCGGCGAACGGGUGAGUAAUACAUCGGAACGUGUCCCGUAGUGGGGGAUAGCCCGGCGAAAGCCGGAUUAAUACCGCAUAUGCUCUACGGAGGAAAGUGGGGGACUCGCAAGGGCCUCACGCUAUGGGAGCGGCCGAUGUCCGAUUAGCUUGUUGGCGGGGUAAUGGCCCACCAAGGCGACGAUCGGUAGCUGGUCUGAGAGGAUGAUCAGCCACACUGGGACUGAGACACGGCCCAGACUCCUACGGGAGGCAGCAGUGGGGAAUUUUGGACAAUGGGGGGAACCCUGAUCCAGCCAUGCCGCGUGCGGGAAGAAGGCCUUCGGGUUGUAAACCGCUUUUGGCCGGAAAGAAAAGGCGCACCCUAAUACGGGGCGUUCUUGACGGUACCGGCAGAAUAAGCACCGGCUAACUACGUGCCAGCAGCCGCGGUAAUACGUAGGGUGCGAGCGUUAAUCGGAAUUACUGGGCGUAAAGCGUGCGCAGGCGGUUCUCCAAGUCCGUUGUGAAAGCCCCGGGCUCAACCUGGGAAUGGCAGUGGAAACUAGGGGACUUGAAUCUGGCAGAGGGGGGUGGAAUUCCACGUGUAGCAGUGAAAUGCGUAGAGAUGUGGAGGAACACCGAUGGCGAAGGCAGCCCCCUGGGCUGAGAUUGACGCUCAGGCACGAAAGCGUGGGGAGCAAACAGGAUUAGAUACCCUGAUAGUCC